rnacentral:rRNA from 1 species
CCUACGGGAGGCAGCAGUAGGGAAUCUUCCGCAAUGGACGAAAGUCUGACGGAGCAACGCCGCGUGAGUGAUGAAGGCUUUCGGGUCGUAAAACUCUGUUGUUAGGGAAGAACAAGUGCUAGUUGAAUAAGCUGGCACCUUGACGGUACCUAACCAGAAAGCCACGGCUAACUACGUGCCAGCAGCCGCGGUAAUACGUAGGCGGCAAGCGUUAUCCGGAAUUAUUGGGCGUAAAGCGCGCGCAGGUGGUUUCUUAAGUCUGAUGUGAAAGCCCACGGCUCAACCGUGGAGGGUCAUUGGAAACUGGGAGACUUGAGUGCAGAAGAGGAAAGUGGAAUUCCAUGUGUAGCGGUGAAAUGCGUAGAGAUAUGGAGGAACACCAGUGGCGAAGGCGACUUUCUGGUCUGUAACUGACACUGAGGCGCGAAAGCGUGGGGAGCAAACAGGAUUAGAUACCCUGGUAGUCCACGCCGUAAACGAUGAGUGCUAAGUGUUAGAGGGUUUCCGCCCUUUAGUGCUGAAGUUAACGCAUUAAGCACUCCGCCUGGGGAGUACGGCCGCAAGGCUGAAACUCAAAGGAAUUGACGGA